GGGACUUUGCUCGGCCUUUACCCCAGGGGUAUAAAAGCCUCAGGGCAGUGGGAGGCUCUACCGAUCACACUUAACUCUCGACACCCGCCCCGUGUGUACCAUUAACACAUUGCUCUAGAUUAUGUUUUUUUGUUUGUUUUUUUUAAUCUAAGAUCAUCACGGUCAUGUCUGGCUGCUUUGUAUCUAAUGCUAAUCGAUUUUUUUUCCUGAGAUCCGCUGCGGUGACGAAUUUUGAUGGCAUUAUUAACCAGGCUGACCCACUUCUUUUUGGCUUUUGGGAUGGACAGGAGUGUGCGACAGUAUGGAAUAUAACUUAGAGACCAGUUUGACGAGAUCCCAGGGAAUAAAGACAGAAAAACCAUCACUAAGCUUCAUCUUUCCGGUGCUGUUACUGCAUUUUCUUUUUCUCUCUCCUAAUGUCAGCACACUGUCCAUACUGUCUCCUACUCCUGUUUCAGAUCCCACAGGAUGUAGCUCAGAGAAUCUGGCUUUCGUAGGACAGGUGGGAGGAUGGGGGUGGGGUUUCCUCUAAAAGUACCAUGAUGCAUUGCCAAUCAGACAUGCCCAUACUGUGAUGAGAUGGGCUGGAGGCCUAUGAUUGCCAAAGUUAUUUUUAACCUACCUUGCUCUGUUCCUCCAGCCUUUCUAUUUUGUUUCAUUUCAACUUUUUUUCCCUGUGCAUCAUAUGAAGAAGCAAGACACCUCCAAUGUCACUGCCUCCUUUUCUCCUUUCCAUCUCUUUUAUUUUCACCUCCUUUUCUCUUUUCCACCCUCUCUCUCUCUCUCUCUCUCUCUCUCUCUCUCUCUCUGUCUCUCCCCUUCUCUCUGCUCUCAUCCUUAAACUCUCAAACGCUGAUUCAGCUGCUGGUAUACAGACGAUCCUGCUGCCAUCCCCAUCCAGUACAGCUUCUCUCGGUAAGUGAGUGCGUAUGUGUGAAUGUAUGUAUGGGACAUGUGCGUGUAGGUGAACACUCUUCAUCUUGUCCUGUCUCUUCUGCUACGUGUCUGUGUUUAUGUAUGUGUUAAUAUGCAGCCAAAGCAGCGCUGAGCUCUCUGCUCUGGCAUACUGCUCCUGUCAAAGUUGCUUUAGUGCUAGCGCUAGUGGAGAUGCUAGCACCCUUAUUAUACUACUGCAUCACACUACAACCUGCGUUAGGUUAUGCCAGCAGAAGAAGCUGAAGCAAUUUGUGAAGUUUGAAAAUGGCUGAGUUCUUUAUUGUUUUAGAGUUUUUGCAAUCGUUUUUGCGUGACGAUUUGAUAAAAUGAUUUUGUGUAAAACUGUUCUCAAUUAUUUUUAGGAUAAAAGAUACAUUAAGAAUAUUAGUGUUGCAAUAGCGCAGGGGCAGACUGUAGGGUAAUUUGUCUUUACUCACAUGUCUUUGAAAUCACAAUUCCAAAGUGAUCCUUUCAGAGAGGGACAGACAGUGAUGAUGAGACAGAAAGAGACCGACUCACAUGACCUUGACCUCUCUAUGGGACAUAAAGGCCAGUCAGCUCUCUACCUGCUAAUUUUACCCCGUUGGCAUGGUGGUGACCCAGGCCAUGUUUAAAUGCAGACUGAACCAGAGCUUGGAGGAUCAGGUGACAGUUGGACUGUUCUCAGAUUGAACAGCUGCUGAAGGUGGAGAACUGUGGUGUGGGGAGCUCGGGAUUGGCUAGUGCAGGACAGGAAUGGUACACCUGUUCCUAAAGUGUGUGUGUGUGUGUGUGUGUUCUGACAAACAUAUUUCCAAGUAAUGGUUCCAUCUAUAGUGUAGGGGUGGAAAGCUCAUAUUAGAAGUUGGCUGUGUGCAAGAGAGAGAAAGAGGGUGGGGGAGACCUGGAUUUACACAACUGGUAGCAUCAAAGAAGGACGGAUGAAAAAUAAAGGCGGGUGAAUGCGGGAGAGGGAAGGAGUGGUGAUUUAUGAUGACUUUCAGUUUAAUUACGGAGAAGCUGCUAUAGGGAGAGACAGCUAUAUGCAGUCAGCCAUUAGCCGUUGGAUGCAGACUUCUGCUGGUGUCAGUAAACUAUACAUAAAGUAUGGAUCAUUUAUAACGGAUACGAAAUGCUUGUUUUUUAAGCAAUCUGGUUAUGUGGACUGGAACAGGCUGUGCAGUCAGAAACAUAAACAUAGUGUAUGUAUUUAAAUGUUGAUCUGAUAAUGACAGCUCCAUCUAUCCACUUUUUAGUAGUGCCAUGUACUGAAAAAGCAAUGUUGUGGUUUACUUAGGUGUUCAAAGUGUAAAUCACAGAUAAAAGGAAGUGUAAUCUCCUUAGUAGUUGUGUGUGUUCUGUUUACUGUGUAUAUAGGUAAUGGGUGCACACUGUGUUGUCUGGUUCUCAGUCUUACAUUGAAAGCAUAUGGUAAUAUAUGAGCUCAAUAUAUUGUGUUCUUUAAUACUUAAGUAAUUAUUUAUGAGCUUCCAUAAUGUAAUUCUUGUCUCUGUGCAUUUCCCCUUAAGUAAAUAAAUAAACAAGUUAGUGUGUAGUUGUAUGUGUAAUUAUUAGAAUUAUUAUUAUGUGUAAUUAUUAUAUUAUGGCAAUGACUUUAUAUUAUUUUGCAUAGUCUGCUUUGUAUGUGGUGUGAAAAUUUGGGGUGAUUUGGGGACAAACUUUGUGAUAAUUACAUAUAGAAUGUAGUUAAACAUCUGCUUCAGAUCUGCUUAAUUACACAACAUGCAGAACUACUAUAACUGUUACCUUGUUAGACAUUUUAAUUACCAGAUCAUUGUCUUUGUAGGUACGUAAAGGUAAAGCAGUCUAAUGCAGAUAGCUAAUUAGUAACACUUUGUAUAAAUAAGACUUGCACUUUUAAAAAACCUUUAGUUAAGGAUACUAAAUAUAAAAUAGCACAUGGUCACUUGAUACACAUGCAGACUUAUACACAUACUUAGACACAGCAUGAGGGAUCAUUAGACUACUGAGGCUGGUUGGUUCCUCCUCUGACUUCCCUGUGCUCUAAUGGUCAAACUGAGUGUCAUGCGAAGGUAACACGCACCCAUUCACACACCCAUACACACACACACACACACACACUUCAUAUAGUGUCUCUGCUAUCCAACACUGCAGUGAGGUGCUUGCAGUGAGAGCAGUGACACUUCACAGUGAUGGUCUAAUUAUUUAAGAGGAAACUCAGCUGUGUGCUACUUGUCUAUAAAUUGGAGUUUAUCACUGAAGGAGGUGGUGGGGAUGUAAAAAAAAAAAAAAAAGGUGAUACAAGGUGAUACAAAGGAGAAACAAAUACACACUCCUAUACACAGUGGUCCUCUUUGUGUUCUGAAGUGUUUAUUUAUAGAUGUAACUACUUUAUAUCCCAGAGAUGUCCAUUAACACUUUGUGUAAGCCAACAUACGCAUUUAUAAUCAGACCAUUAUUGGAUGCAUGUAAUCAGUGAGCAAGAGUGAGAGAGAAAGGGAAUGAGAGAGCAGGAUAUACUGUCAAGGGUCAAUGAAAGUAAGGGGAGGGGAAAAGAGCGAGAGGAAGAGAGAAUGAGGAGGAGGUGUGUGUGGUGCAGGCUCUAUAGGCUGUGCAUUAUGGACUGAGAGAGUGAGAAAGCCAGGCAAUGAGAGGAUGAAAGGUGGAAUGCAGUGAGGCUAGGUCAGCGAUACAGAUCAUCAGAUAACCAUUUAUCUCCUCUGGACCAUAUUAGCUACACAUCAGAGUGUUCGAGCCUAUUCAGGACAGUGAUGAGAGAACAGAGGAGCCCUGCAGUGGACAAACUUUACUGUUUGUGUGUCUGUGUGUGUGUGUUGGGGGGACAGACAGACAGAGAGAUGGGAGGAGGGAGAGAGUGUUAGAGUGUGAAACAGAAUAAGAGAGAGAGAGAGAGAGAGAGAGAGAGACAGACAGACUCUGAUAGCAAGAGAGGGAAAAAAGAAGGAGGAAAGAGAUUGCAGAGGUAGCACCUGGGCCGGAGUAGAAGAGAGGAAAAGACAAGGCACUCUUUUCCUUCCUGUUUGCCUGUUUGGUGCAUUGGCCCAUUAGAAACUGAACCUGAGGGACUCAAUCUGAUGGCUACCUACUAGAUUUGGGCUGCAGCCGUGAGCUCCAGCACUACUGUCCCACUCAUCCCAGAAUGCUUUGCUAAAGCUGGUAAAAUGGAACCAAAUCAACUGUUCUAUGGAUUUGGUCCCCUUCAACCAGCUGUAGCUGUGCAUUGAUCACCCCAGAGGGCAGUGAGAUAGACAGAGAAGAUCUGGGAGCACACAAACACAUACUAACACUCUACAGGAUUCACCUUAUGACCAUGUCUGACAGGAUCUGAACAUCCAAGGAGCUGUCAUAUGGAUUCGUUGAUCCAGCUAGAACACCAACCUGAUACACUUCACCCCACACAUUAUAAUCUCUAAUAACAUGAUUAAACACUGUGAGGUUAUUAAAACCCAGGUGAACAUUAACCAUUCCAUGCUGUUCAACUCUUUAUGACUGAUAAUAUCGGAUUAUGAAUCCAGCCCCAUUCGCUGUCACUGGAAUAUAGGCUUGCUGAGCUUUAUGGCUGCCCAUUGAUUUCUUGUCUUGCUGGUGAAAGAGAGAGAUGUGGAGGGACAGGAUGGGAGAGAGGGCUGCACGUCAAGCUGUUGAAUAAGUAAAGCAAUCGUUCCUUUUCUCCUCUUUUUCCCCCACACACUUGUCGUGAUCCUUAAUGCACGUUUCUGAUCAAUAAAAGCUCAUCCUGAGGUCCAUAAAUGCUGAAGUGGGUGUUUUUUUUUUAAAUGCUGGCUUCUUGAUGGAAGGAGGAAGGUCAAAGUGAAGGGAAAUGGAUAGGAAGAAAAGGAAAAUAAGGGAAGAUGGAUGGAUGUAUGGAGGACAGGAGUUGGCAGAUUGACAUGACAGUGCAGAAGAACUGUGAAUAAAGGAAUGGGUAACAUGAUGCUACCACACAAUAUCCUAGAUUCUAGCACAGGCUUGUUACGGGAAUUGAAUAUUCAGAUUAAUAUUCUAAGGACUAAUUAAGGCAACACUAACCAAAUAUCAGGCAAAAUAAUCCUGUUCAUUACUGAAACCUUAACCAUUUGUAACAUUUAGUCAUGAUAUCAUGUUAGUUAAACACCAAGGUCUCCUUCACACAGCAUAUUUUGCUGGUAUAACAGCAGCACAUAGCAGAUUUGGUUGGGCAGGAACUUUCUUUCUUUCUUUCUUUCUUUCUUUAUUACUUACUGACUUACUUAUUUACUUAUUUGUUGCUUGUUUGUAUUUAUCAAGUUGUGCCCAGAAAUGAAUAUGACAAUGUAGACCAUAUUGGGCAGCAGUGAACAGGAGGUGUGACAGCUGAAAUCUGCUGGUGCAGUGGGACUUUUAAACCUACUUUGACCCAAAACUGCUGGAAUUUCUGACUUCAUUGCUCACAAGCCAGUUUUGUGGAUGUACUCUGCUUCUGUCAAUAGCCUUCUUUAACCAACUAUUAAAUACUAUCGUCUGUAUUAUUUUAAAGUGACAAAUAAAAACAAACAACCAAGUUGUGGCUACUAAAUGUGAAUUAGACAGUUGUCACCUUAUUGCACAUGGAACAUCAUAUAAUGAAUAGAUUUAAUAAAAUUACAUAACUAAGAGAUGAGAAGUUAGCCAAUAUAAAUGCUUUGAGCUAGAGCUUUGUCAAAAGGCAGCUCUGGCUCGGAGGCAGGAGGAAAUUAAUUGGUUCAAACAGCCAACUGCUGGAGCUUACUUUUCGAAGGUUUGCAUUAAUUCCCUAGCCAGUAACAGUACUGCUGUUUGUUAGCUUGGCUUUUGACUUUUGAUUUUGACUAAAAAAGGGGUUCUUAUUUAUAUGAUGUUGGCAACAAAAAAAAAAUGUCCAUUUUCUGUUAGUGGUGUUAAAUUAGUUCGUUUUUGUUAAAUUAAAAAACUGUUCAGAAAGCUACCUACACUCUAUAAUAAGGUACAUAAGCCAUAAACUUGUCUGAUCACUAACAUUAGCUUAUUAAUUAGCUGGCAACAAUGUCAUCAACAACUUUUGGAUAUCUAGCUGGCUUGUAACUUAAAUAUUUAAAUAAAGUGUGCCAUUCUACGAGUCACCAUGCUGAGCAGCUCUCACUGUGUAUCUCAGCAUCCUUUACACCUCUUGAUAAAAUAUUAAAACAAACCCCAACCUUUUGUAAAAUUACACCACUCUGGGUCACAAUACCACCUGUGCUGACAGACAGAAAAAUAUAUAAUGUACUGUAUGUGCCAUAACUUCAUGUCCUAAUGCCAUGAUCUUUUGUCGGGUUUUGCCAUUUGUAUUAUGAUCACAGGAAUGUGUAAGUUGCCGUGUUACACCAGCUCCACCUCAUCAUUCCCCUCCUUCAGGUCGACCUAACCUCUUCUGUCAGCCUUGUUAUGUGGUGUGGUAAUGGUCACAGACGUUUGAUGUGUGUGUGUGUGUGUGUGUGUGUGUGUGUGUGUGUGUGUGUUAGGGGGAAACAGAGCAGAACCAUUUCCCCUGUGUAAAAGAUUUAAUUCUGUUAUUUGUCUUUUACUGGCUGGUAAAAGAUCCUAUUACAAAAUUACUGGGGUGAAUCUUUCUCUCUCUCUCUCUCUCUCUCACACACACACACACACACACACACACACACACACACACACACACACACGGGCAAAGCACAUGGACAAAUUACUGUUCACAAAACAUCGAAACCAGGGAUAUGUAACGAGGUUUUAAGCGAGGUUUCACCAGAAUAAUUGAGAAUCAAAUAUUAACUGUACUGUAUGUAAAGUACAUGUACUACAUGUAAAGUACUGUACUGCAUGACAUGGUAAAGUUCUUCUAAAUCAACUUGAUCUCAUGAAUAAAUUGUGCAAAUUCAAACAAAUUCA